GAUGAACGCUGGCGGCGUGCUUAACACAUGCAAGUCGAACGGAGAAAGGGUAGCUUGCUAUCUUUCUUAGUGGCGGACGGGUGAGUAACGCGUGGGUAACCUGCCCUUUGCAGGGGGAUAACAGUGAGAAAUCACUGCUAAUACCGCAUACCAACUUCUUUCGCAGUGAAGGAAGUUUGAAAGAUUUAUCGGCAAAGGAUGGACCCGCGUUGGAUUAGCUAGUUGGUGAGAUAACAGCCCACCAAGGCAACGAUCCAUAGCCGGCCUGAGAGGGUGAACGGCCACACUGGGACUGAGACACGGCCCAGACUCCUACGGGAGGCAGCAGUGGGGAAUAUUGCACAAUGGGCGAAAGCCUGAUGCAGCGACGCCGCGUGAAGGAUGAAGGUCUUCGGAUUGUAAACUUCUAUCAGCAGGGAAGAAAGGGCCUAUGGCCUAUGACGGUACCUGACUAAGAAGCCCCGGCUAACUACGUG
rnacentral:rRNA from 1 species